UACAGAGGUCUCAAGCGUUGUUCGGAUUCAUUGGGCGUAAAGGGUGCGUAGGCGGCGCGGUAAGUCGGGGUGUGAAAUCUCGGAGCUUAACUCCGAAACUGCAUUCGAUACUACCGUGCUUGAGGACUGGAGAGGAGACUGGAAUUUACGGUGUAGCGGUGAAAUGCGUAGAUAUCGUAAGGAAGACCAGUGGCGAAGGCGGGUCUCUGGACAGUUCCUGACGCUGAGGCACGAAGGUCAGGGGAGCAAACGGG
rnacentral:rRNA from 1 species